GACGAACGCUGGCGGCGUGCUUAAUACAUGCAAGUCAACUGAGCAUAAGGUAGCAAUAUCUUAUGUGCGGUGGCGCACGGGUGAGUAACACGUAGGUAAUCUGCCUUUAGGUCUGACAUAAUCCCGCGAAAGCGGUACUAAAAUACAGAUGAUGCAGCGGCUCGACAUCGAGACAGUUGUUAAACCUUCGGGCCGUGAAGAUGAGCCUGCGCUGAUUAGGUAGUUGGCGGAGUAAAAGACCCACCAAGCCUGCGAUCAGUAGCUGGUCUGAGAGGAUGGCCAGCCACAUU
rnacentral:rRNA from 1 species